rnacentral:lncRNA from 1 species
AGGGAGGAUGAUGCCUUCUCCAAGGCUGGAACACAACCUCUGCUAGGGUGGGAGAACCAGCAGCUCAGUCCCAGCAUUCUCACAGUGGAAGCUGGGUUGGAAAAAGGCUGAUGGAAAGGAAAAGCCUGGUGCAAAAGGAGCAUGGAGGACUUGCUGCUGGGCUCUUGGGAUGGAGGAAGAGCCUCACACUUCACUGGCUUAUUGACUCCAUUUCUAAUUGUUCUGUGGUGGAGUUACAUGACCGAACAGGGCUGUGGAUGUUGUCUGCUGUGCUUGUAAUGCACUGAGUGACUUCUAGCUCAUCCUUUGCCUCCAUCUGUUUCUCUGCUGCUCCCAUUGAGCCCACACAACUAUCUCCAGACCAAGAAUCAAAUGCAAAGGCAGCUGUAAGAUGGAGUCUAGCAUGGAGUCAAGAGGAGGAUGCUGUGGUCCUUGCAUCAGCAGAGGAGUCUGAGCAGCCACACUUUGCCUGGGGCAGGCUUCCAUCCCAACACCAAGGGAACAGAAGGCAAACAGGCAUUGGUCCUGAGAACAGGAGGAGCAAAAUCAAGCUGGACCAUCUGUGGAUUGCUCAGUGCCUGCCAUCCCACCAGCUACAGGAGGAUACUGGGAGGGGGAAGCACCUGCCAUGGCAAAGGGACAAGAAUUGGGUGCGACAGGAAUGCCACCAGCUCCAUGCAAUCCCAGGGCUGGAACUUUGUGUGCUGA